GCUUAGAAGCAGCCACCCUUGAAAGAGUGCGUAAUAGCUCACUGGUCAAGUGAUUGUGCGCCGAUAAUGUAGCGGGGCUCAAGCACACCGCCGAAGCCGCGGCAACGCAGCAAUGCGUUGGGUAGGGGAGCGUCCUGCAUCCGGUGAAGCCACGGAGUGAUCCAGUGGUGGAGGGUGUGGGAGUGAGAAUGCAGGCAUGAGUAGCGAUAAGGCAAGUGAGAACCUUGCCCGCCGAAAGACCAAGGGUUCCUGGGGCAGGCCAGUCCGCCCAGGGUGAGUCGGGACCUAAGGCGAGGCCGACAGGCGUAGUCGAUGGACAACGGGUUGAUAUUCCCGUACCCGUGUGUGAGCGCCCAAUGACGAAUCAUCGGUACUAACCGCCCAAAAGGUGACUAACCGAGUCCUUUUAGGACAAGGGGGUCGCCGGCUGCGCGGGACCUUCGGUGGUAGUAGUCAAGCGAUGGGGUGACGCAGGAAGGUAGCCGUACCAGUCAGUGGUAAUACUGGGGCAAGCCGGUAGGACGAGACCUAGGCAAAUCCGGGUCUCAUGAACGUCCGAGAGGUGAUGCAUAGCCGAGUGAGGCGAAUUCGGUGAUCCUAUGCUGCCAAGAAAAGCCUCUAGCGAGCACACACACGGCCCGUACCCCAAACCAACACAGGUGGUCAGGUAGAGAAUACCGAGGCGUACGAGUGAACUAUGGUUAAGGAACUCGGCAAAAUACCCCCGUAACUUCGGGAGAAGGGGGACCCCCUGCGGUCAAGGCCCACGCGGCCGGCAGCGGCGGGGGGUGGCACAAACCAGUGAGAAGCGACUGUUUACUAAAAACACAGGUCCGUGCGAAGUCGCAAGACGAUGUAUACGGACUGACGCCUGCCCGGUGCUGGAAGGUUAAGAGGACCGGUUAGCCGCAAGGCGAAGCUGAGAAUUUAAGCCCCAGUAAACGGCGGUGGUAACUAUAACCAUCCUAAGGUAGCGAAAUUCCUUGUCGGGUAAGUUCCGACCUGCACGAAUGGCGUAACGACUUCUCAACUGUCUCAACCAUAGACUCGGCGAAAUUGCACUACGAGUAAAGAUGCUCGUUACGCGCGGCAGGACGAAAAGACCCCGGGACCUUCACUACAACUUGGUAUUGGAGUUCGGUACGGUUUGUGUAGGAUAGGUGGGAGACUGUGAAGCGCACACGCCAGUGUGUGUGGAGUCGUUGUUGAAAUACCACUCUGAUCGUAUUGGGCUUCUAACCUCGGACCGUCUAUCCGGUCCAGGGACAGUGCCUGGUGGGUAGUUUAACUGGGGCGGUUGCCUCCUAAAAUGUAACGGAGGCGCCCAAAGGUUCCCUCAACCUGGACGGCAAUCAGGUGUUGAGUGCAAGUGCACAAGGGAGCUUGACUGCGAGACUGACACGUCAAGCAGGGACGAAAGUCGGGACUAGUGAUCCGGCACCCCCGAGUGGAAGGGGUGUCGCUCAACGGAUAAAAGGUACCCCGGGGAUAACAGGCUGAUCUUCCCCAAGAGUCCAUAUCGACGGGAUGGUUUGGCACCUCGAUGUCGGCUCGUCGCAUCCUGGGGCUGGAGCAGGUCCCAAGGGUUGGGCUGUUCGCCCAUUAAAGCGGCACGCGAGCUGGGUUUAGAACGUCGUGAGACAGUUCGGUCUCUAUCCGCCGCGCGCGUCAGAAGCUUGAGGAAACCUGUCCCUAGUACGAGAGGACCGGGACGGACGAACCUCUGGUCCACCAGUUGUCCCACCAGGGGCACCGCUGGAUAGCCACGUUCGGACAGGAUAACCGCUGAAAGCAUCUAAGCGGGAAACCUUCUCCAAGACCAGGCUUCU
rnacentral:rRNA from 1 species